AGGACGUGCUAAUCUGCGAAAAGCGUCGGUAAGGUGAUAUGAACCGUUAUAACCGACGAUGUCCGAAUGGGGAAACCCAGUGCAAUUCGUUGCACUAUCGUUUGAUGAAUCCAUAGUCAAACGAGGCGAACCGGGGGAACUGAAACAUCUCAGUACCCCGAGGAAAAGAAAUCAACCGAGAUUCCCCUAGUAGCGGCGAGCGAACGGGGAGCAGC
rnacentral:rRNA from 1 species